rnacentral:rRNA from 1 species
GACGAACGCUGGCGGCGUGCUUAACACAUGCAAGUCGAACGGAAAGGCCUUUUCGGAGGUACUCGAGUGGCGAACGGGUGAGUAACACGUGGGUGAUCUGCCCUGCACUCUGGGAUAAGCCUGGGAAACUGGGUCUAAUACCGGAUAGGACCGCACUUUAGUGUGUGUGGUGGAAAGUUUUUUCGGUGUAGGAUGAGCCCGCGGCCUAUCAGCUUGUUGGUGGGGUAAUGGCCUACCAAGGCGGCGACGGGUAGCCGGACUGAGAGGUUGGUCGGCCACAUGGGGACUGAGAUACGGCCAGACCUCCUCGGGGGGGAGGAGGUGGGGAUUAUUGAAAAAGGGGCGAAGCCUGGAUGAGGGAACGCGGGUUGGGGAUGACGGCCUUCGGGUUGUAAACUCCUUUCGCCAGGGACGAAGCGUUUUGUGACGGUACCUGGAGAAGAAGCACCGGCUAACUACGUG